UUCGCAAUGCCCGAAAGGGUGACGAAGCGACGCCGCGUGCGGGAAGAAGGCCUUCGGGUUGUAAACCGCUGUCGGGAGUUAGGAAGUGCAAGGAUGUUAAUAGCGUCUUUGCUUGACUAAGGCUCCGGAGGAAGCCACGGCUAACUCUGUGCCAGCAGCCGCGGUAAUACAGAGGCGGCAAGCGUUGUUCGGAAUUAUUGGGCGUAAAGAGCACGUAGGCGGCCGUGUAAGUCGGUUGUGAAAGCCUUCCGCUCAACGGAAGAACGGCAUCCGAUACUGCAUGGCUUGAGUGCGGGAGGGGAGAGUGGAACUUCUGGUGGAGCGGUGAAAUGCGUAGAUAUCAGAAGGAACACCGGCGGCGAAGGCGACUCUCUGGUCCGUAACUGACGCUGAGUGUGCGAAAGCUAGGGGAGCAAACGGGAUUAGAUACCCCGGUAGUCCUAGCCGUAAACGAUGGGCACUAAGUAGAGGGGUUUU
rnacentral:rRNA from 1 species